CCCAGACUCCUACGGGAGGCAGCAGUGGGGGAUAUUGGACAAUGGGGGAAGCCCUGAUCCAGCGACGCCGCGUGAGUGAAGAAGUAUUUCGGUAUGUAAAGCUCUGUCAGCAGGGAAGAAAGAAAUGACGGUACCUGAGUAAGAAGCCCCGGCUAACUACGUGCCAGCAGCCGCGGUAAUACGUAGGGGGCAAGCGUUAUCCGGAUUUACUGGGUGUAAAGGGAGCGUAGACGGCAUGGCAAGUCUGAAGUGAAAGCCCGGGGCUCAACCGCGGGACUGCUUUGGAAACUGUUAAGCUGGAGUGCAGGAGAGGUAAGUGGAAUUCCUAGUGUAGCGGUGAAAUGCGUAGAUAUUAGGAGGAACACCAGUGGCGAAGGCGGCUUACUGGACUGUAACUGACGUUGAGGCUCGAAAGCGUGGGGAGCAAACAGGAUUAGAUACCCUCGUAGCA
rnacentral:rRNA from 1 species